UACAACCAUAUCACGCUGAAACACCGGUUCCCAUACGAUAAGUUAAGCAAAGAUGAGUCUGGUCAAUACCUUGAUGGGUGGCCGCUUGGUAAUACCAGGUGCUGUAA